UCUCCGAUUAAAAUUGUCCUUAUUGCGUUUAAUUGCACUGUUAAAAAUUUAUUAAAACUCAUUGAAAGUUAAUGAGAAGCGUAGUAUUUCUCUUUACAAAAAUGAUAUUCUUUCACGUGUGCGCGCAUAUUCGUGCGGUCGAAUGGAUUUCGAUCAAAUUGCAUUCUUGUGCAAAUAGACGCAGAAAGAUACACGGAAUUAUAUUAUUACUGAUAUCCUGAGUGUUAUCAGCCGCAAGGUUUUUUUUCUUUUUGUGCAUAGUGCUAUCAAGUGCGAUGUUUCAGCAAACGAAGUUUGCGAGCCACAUAUUGUUACGCAUAUCGGCCACGUGUAUGAUACAUACGCUUUGUUUUUUAUCAGUUUUCGACGAAUACACGACGAGUCGUCAUAACGAUUGAGCGUAUAAUAAUAGAUAUAUAUAUAUAUAUAUACGUAUGUGAAUAAUAUUCUCACGAGAGAGACUGCCAGCGCUUUUAUAUAUCGACAAUCUUCUUCAUAUAUCGACUAUCUCCAUCGCUCGCAAUCAUACCGUUAAAUAAUCAUGUAACGGCCGAAUUGUCUGUUGCGAACGAAUGUAAUAUUUAAAUGUAAAUAUCGCGCUUAAGUAAUAUGGAGACACAACGGAUUUUGUAACGAUAGUAUUAUCUUGUACAAUAUGUAUUUAUAUAUAUUUUUCUAUCCUCGCGUACCGUAAUUUUAUAACCCGUAAUUUUAUAAGUAGCAUCUGCGAUGAGUAAAAUUUCUUUCGGCGUUUCGUUCUUUUUAAAUUUUAACGUGAAAAUCGACUGUAAGGCGAGUUUUGCGAUACUUUAAAACUAACGGUGGAGAAAACAGCGACUGGGAAGCAACACAGUAAGUUUUACUCAUCGCCAUCAGUCUUUUAAAGCUUGAUGGACAAUUAGCGACGUGGUUGAAUAAUGAAAAGUAAAGUAAGAAAGUACGAGGCGCACUCGCGCCAGCUGAUUAUGAUCUCACUACAGAUUCCGUAGAAUCGUCUUAUCACACAGGUCACGGUUCGAUUCACGCUUAAGAAUCAUUUUAUCUUUAUUAAUAUUUGUCGAAUGUUAAACAAAGACAAAUGAUGCUCAUAAACGUUGUGAGUAUGAAUCGAAUCGCGAUCACACUAACGCGGCACGCGCGUUAUGAUUUUACCAGUAAUCCUGAUAUAGCCGCAAUACUACAGUUUAAUCCUGAAAGUCACAAGAUUGUCAACUUGGUGAGGAUCAUAGAAGGGAGUUCAUUGGACACUCAACCUGGUUGAGUGAAAUCUGAUAAUCUCAAAUUUCAACCUUUGUUUCUUCCACUGAUAUACAUAAGCUGUUAAAAUAGAUC